UCCUGGCUCAGAACGACGCUGGCGGCAUGCCUAACACAUGCAAGUCGAACGAGACCUUCGGGUCUAGUGGCGCACGGGUGCGUAACGCGUGGGAAUCUGCCCUUCGGUUCGGAAUAACUCAGGGAAACUUGAGCUAAUACCGGAUAAUGACGUAAGUCCAAAGAUUUAUCGCCGAAGGAUGAGCCCGCGUAGGAUUAGCUUGUUGGUGGGGUAAUGGCCCACCAAGGCGACGAUCCUUAGCUGGUCUGAGAGGAUGAUCAGCCACACUGGGACUGAGACACGGCCCAGACUCCUACGGGAGGCAGCAGUGGGAAUAUUGGACAAUGGGCGAAAGCCUGAUCCAGCAAUGCCGCGUGAGUGAUGAAGGCCUUAGGGUUGUAAAGCUCUUUUACCCGGGAUGAUAAUGACAGUACCGGGAGAAUAAGCUCCGGCUAACUCCGUG
rnacentral:rRNA from 1 species